rnacentral:tRNA from 1 species
ACCUGGGUGGCUCAGUUAAGCAUCUGACUUCAGCUCAGGACAUGAUCUCAUGGCUUGUGGGUUCAAGCCCCACAUCAGGCU